UCCAACUCCUGACCUCAUGAUCCCCCCGCCUCAGCCUCCCAAAGUGCUGGGAUUACAAGCGUGAGCCACCGCGACCCGCCAACACUCUUGACAACAGUGCUGUGCUAAGAACUUGGGGGACUUCAAAAAGUUCACCAGUUCCUGUGUCCAUGGGUGAAAAGAUUUUCUACAUCUUUCCUUGACUAGAAACAGAAGUCCUGAAACAAGAAUAUAACGUCAGGAGGCCAGAGGCUUUGUCCUGCCUAAUGUGUUAUUUCCACACUGAAUAAAAGCACCUGAGUCCUGUCUCACUCCGUCACCCAGACU
rnacentral:lncRNA from 1 species